UACAGAGGUCUCAAGCGUUGUUCGGAUUCAUUGGGCGUAAAGGGUGCGUAGGCGGCGCGGUAAGUCGGGUGUGAAAUCUCGGGGCUUAACUCCGAAACUGCAUUCGAUACUGCCGUGCUUGAGGACUGGAGAGGAGACUGGAAUUUACGGUGUAGCGGUGAAAUGCGUAGAUAUCGUAAGGAAGACCAGUGGCGAAGGCGAAUCUCUGGACAAUUACUGACACUGAGGCACGAAGGCCAGGGGAGCAAACGGG
rnacentral:rRNA from 1 species